UCGGGAAUUUUGGGCAAUGGGCGAAAGCCUGACCCAGCAACGCCGCGUGAGGGAUGAAGUAUUUCGGUAUGUAAACCUCGAAAGAACGGGAAGAAUAAAUGACGGUACCAUUUAUAAGCUCCGGCUAACUACGUGCCAGCAGCCGCGGUAAUACGUAGGGAGCAAGCGUUGUCCGGAUUUACUGGGUGUAAAGGGCGCGCAGGCGGGAUAAAAAGUCAGUGGUGAAAUCCUACAGCUUAACUGUAGAACUGCCUUUGAUACUUUUAUUCUUGAGUUCGGGAGAGAGAGACGGAAUUCCAGGUGUAGUGGUGAAAUACGUAGAUAUCUGGAAGAACACCAGUUGCGAAGGCGGUCUCUUGGUCCGACACUGACGCUGAGGCGCGAAAGCGUGGGGAGCAAACA
rnacentral:rRNA from 1 species